AUGGCUUCCCUGCAAGUCAUAUCAUGCCAUACGAUGAUUAGUUUAUAACCAAUGACUCGGAGGCGAUGGGUAUUUGACUUAGUUAUUUGGUUAUUGUUCGAGAGCGUGUCACAUUCCUGGCGCCACAGGUCUUGGUUCACGCCGCCACAGUCUCGCAGCAUUUAGCCAGUGAAACCACUCACUCCAAAAGGAAUAUAUCGGAUAGGAGACUUGUGCUCAGCGUACAACAAUAUACGUGACUGGUAGCAUGCAAUGAAAGCAAACAAUUGAAAGUAAGAUUUAACCAAGUGAGACCCACGGGAAAUGAAUAGCUAAUAUCUUCUGCCGUCUGCUGAAUGUUGAUAAUGGCAAACACGCAAGGGUGUAGGCUGAAUACCAAUUUUCUCCUCACUCGGUUGUCCUUUUCGUCGAGGCUGCAUUUGCAGGGCAUUUGUUAGGGAAAACUUAAAGGUCGACUGGGAGACAUCCGAAGGGGAGAUCGUCUACUAACAUAGCAUCACGUCAGGAGCUUACCAUUAACGAUACGCAGCAUGGGAAUUGUACGAUGUUUGAUUCACGUUAAUGUCCCAUGAAACGAAGAUGAGAUUGCAAUUGUAUCAUUUAGUUGUCGAGUAGUGUCUGGUAAAGUCGUUAAGAUGGGUCGUUCCUUUGCUCCGUGACAGUCUAAUAUCAUCAUUGAUCAAUUUUGGUGACAACUCGCGUUCAUCCGUGUUUGGAGGUGAAUCCGAGACAUAUUGAAUGUUUGGUACAUAUUUCCGUAAGAAUAAAGGACCCUGCAGCCUAAUAAAUACUUGGGAUAAUGAUUUAGAUAACAUCGGGCAUUACAUCGUUUCAAGGAAUAUUGGACGUUGUUGAAUGCAUAGUGCAAUACAUUAGAUAACAACGGAACUUGCGUCAAAGGAUAUUUAGUGCAAGGGUAGCACCUUGCAUCAACGGGCUUUGAAUGCAUAGGGCAAUAACUUAGAUAACAACAGGCCUCGUGUCACGGGAUAUUGAAUAUUGUCAAAAGGUUUAGUGCAUAGAACAAUACUUUUGAAAAUAACAGAACUUGCAUGAACGUCAAGGGAUAGUGAUCGAGAUACCGGCAUGUGAGUGCAAUGAAAAAAGGUUGGACUACCGAAACGAAAAGAGUGUUGGCAACAAUCGGAUAUCAAGGUAAGAGGACAUUGAACAUUGAUAGAUGCAUAUAGUGUAAUCAGUUGGAUAACAACAGAAUUUGUAUCUAAGGUAAGAGAAUGCCUAGCGUAAUGAUCGGAUAACAACGAUACUUACAUCAAACGAUAUUGAAUGCAAACAGUAAUCAUGCAUGGAUGACGAAGGGCCUUGCAUCAAAUGAUAUUCAACAUUGCUUAAUGCAUAGCGUAAUCAUUUGGAUAAUUACGGAACUUUUUUCAAAGGAUGUUCAGUGUACCUUUUAGAGUAAUAAUAUGGAUCAUACCGGACCUUUGCAUCAGCAUUGAUGAGUGCACAGGAUAAAAAUAGAUACACGUAACAGCGGACCUUUGCAGUAAAGAGAAUUAAAAGUUUUGGUGAUGGUUUAAUUAACAAUCUAAAGUUGCUGCUAUGAAGGGAAAUGCAUAUCGAGUUCCAGUUGGAUAUUGCUAAAGACAGUGAUCGCCUAUUGAUAUUUCGCAAGUCUUGAAUAAACGAAAUUGGUGAUAUCAUCAGUCAGUGUCGCCCAGAGAUGAACUUUGGUUCGGAGAUAGUCAUCUUCUAAGGAUAAAUAACGAUGGUAAGGAUUUCAACAAUUCAGGACGCUGGUUCAUCGUCUUUCUUUAAAUAACAAACUGCAUUCCCCUCACAUGCAGGUCUGUUCUUACAACCGUAAAGUCUUGGACCAAUUUGAUUAAUUUAUGUACGAUUGGCAGUCAUUUCAUUCAGAAUUUGCAUAUCAUUUUCAAUUCGAUUGGAUUCACUGAGAAAAUAUAUCGUUUGUGUAAUUUUUUUUCGGGUAUAUGAUACUAGUACUCGCCUUGAUAUAUGAAGUCAUCAGUGCACAUUUGAUCGUUGCGCAAGUUUCACUUGUGAAAAUCGUCAUAACAUAGGCUAGUUUGUGUUUAUGAUCAGAGAGGGAGCUGUGGGA